rnacentral:rRNA from 1 species
CCUACGGGUGGCUGCAGUGGGGAAUAUUGCACAAUGGGCGCAAACCUGAUGCAGCCAUGCCGCGUGUGUGAAGAAGGCCUUCGGGUUGUAAAGCACUUUCAGCGGGGAGGAAGGCGUUAAGGUUAAUAACCUUGUCGAUUGACGUUACCCGCAGAAGAAGCACCGGCUAACUCCGUGCCAGCAGCCGCGGUAAUACGGAGGGUGCAAGCGUUAAUCGGAAUUACUGGGCGUAAAGCGCACGCAGGCGGUCUGUCAAGUCGGAUGUGAAAUCCCCGGGCUCAACCUGGGAACUGCAUUCGAAACGGGCAGGCUAGAGUCGUGGAGAGGGGGGUAGAAUUCCAGGUGUAGCGGUGAAAUGCGUAGAGAUCUGGAGGAAUACCGGUGGCGAAGGCGGCCCCCUGGACAAAGACUGACGCUCAGGUGCGAAAGCGUGGGGAGCAAACAGGAUUAGAUACCCUUGUAGUC